UCCCUGGUAGCUCAUACAGUAAAGAAUCUGCCUACAAGGCAGGAAACCCAGGUUCGAUGCCUGGGCUGGGGAG
rnacentral:tRNA from 1 species